rnacentral:hammerhead_ribozyme from 1 species
AUCCAGCUGACGAGUCUCAAAUAGAACAAAAGGCGCGUCUUGUAU